CAAUUUAUAUAUUUUAUUCGGUUCACCUCUGAUGGUUUUAACCCGUCGACCUUCUUCUGUCCAUGAACAGGUUUUCGGUCGGCCUUUUCGUAUUGCCGGACUGAUGGACAUGCUGUGAGAGAUCUGAAUGAUACUUCUCAGGAUUGGCGUAUCUGUGUGAGAGUUUGUCGGCUUUGGGAACAUCGUGAUGAGGGCAGGGAUGCUGAGGUCCUGUGUCUGCAUAUGGUUUUAGGAGGCAAGAAGGUUUGUUAGUGCUUUUUGUUGUACAUUGUUUCUGCUCCUGGUAUCUUUCUUCCAUGUGUUGCAUAAUGUUUCCCUUUGGGAUUUCGUUGGUGAGUUCAACUAAAUGGUUAGCUAUUUGUAGUCUGCUUUGCCUUGGCUCUCCCAAUUUGCUCAUUGAUUUUUGUUGUUGUUGCUGCAGGGUCAUGGUAUCCAUGCUAUUAUCUACACACAAGUGAAUAUUAGAGCCCUCGGAAUAAUAGCGUUCAUUUUACGUGUGACAGACGGGAGCUAUCCUGGUUCUUUUACUUAAAUGAAUAUCAUGGCCUUCCUUUGAAUUGUGUAUAUGCUUGCUAAUUUAUGUGUUUUUAGACAUAUGGCUAUCGUCGUUUUGUGGGGUUGGAAUGAAGAGCAAGUGGAUGCUGGUGAAUUGAUCAGGAGGAGCCGUAGGGAACCAGUGAUCAUGCUUGCUAUGGGGUGCAGUUUUAAGAUGCAGGAUUGUAUACCUCUUAUGAUCUGCGUUUUCAUUUUGGUUCAGUAUUACACAAUGGUUGCGUGUUGUUUCACUUUCAUGCUUUGCUGCUGUCUUUGGUUCUAACUUUUUAAUUAAUUUGCAUUCUGGAGGUAUGGUUAUGCUGACGGGGAGCUACGGGUCGAAGUUUUCAAUCAAUCUUGCUAAUCCAGGUGUAUCUGGCUUCCGUAACAAGUAAUUGUUGUUCUUAUCUGUUGAAGUGGCGUUAUUAUAAGCAGUGAUGUGUUCUCGCUGCUUGCUGACAGGGACCGGCAAUUUUAGCUCCACUGAGAUGGAAGAC
rnacentral:lncRNA from 1 species